UUCUACUCGAGUCAUUUUACGUUCGACUACACUUAUCCUGUGACCGCAGAUAUGUUCGGUUUAGAGUUAUAUCAGACAUGUUGCACAUAUUAGGAUAUUCGAUUUACGGUGUUCCUAGUAAUAUUUCUUCUGGUAUGAUAUAGUGCAAUUUUUGCAGAUAGGACAGGUGUCUGGCUUUGUUGUCGGGGUGGCCAUUGGACUAGGAGUGCUAAUUUCUGGGUAAAGCAUAAAUAAUUACUUAUUACAAACUAACUAGAACUCACCAGAUUCACUUAAGUCGAUUAAAUUAUCAAAUGCAGGCCUGUUUCAGGUGGGUCGAUGAAUCCAGCGAGAUCGUUAGGACCUGCACUUGUUUCAUGGAAAUUUGAUGAUCACUUAUGGAUAUAUUUAGUAGCACCAACUAUAGGAGCCAUUGCUGGUGUUUUUGUGUACCGGAUUUUACGACUACAAGGUUGGUCUUGUGAGUCGAGUCAAGCCCGAAAAGGAAGUGAUUCUUUACAUUAGGUUGUAGCAUAGGCCAGCACGGUCGUUUCGAUUCUUUAUCUUCCUUGUACGCUUGCAUUUACGUCUAUGAGUGUUCAAAUUUCCAAAUGUGUUUACGAAUCAAAUUUUGUCUAAUCUUAUGUGAAAACAAAGCCUUAAUCGGACAGUCUCUAUUUAAAUUGCUUUAUUUUAAACUUUUUUUUUUCUCUGUUUGGUCGUUUUCUCUUUUCCUAUAUGAUAUGAGAUAUUAUUCUUCUACUUAACAAGGCCUAUCAAUGGGCCUAACGACAGUAGAGAUAAUGCUCCGUCAGCCCAAGAAAAUCCAUCAAAUAUGGGAGAAUUUACACCAAUAGCACUAGAUAAGAGUGAAUACGGUUUAGUUUGGCGGUUUAAGACAAAAUUUCAAACCAAACCAUUUAAAACAGUUUGAAAUUUUUCCAAAUCAAACCAAAACCACUUUGAUUACUAAACUAAACAAAUCCAAAUCAUUUAUCAUUUUUUUCUGUUUGGUUAUGUUUAAAACUGCGGUUUAAUAAAGAAAAAAUUAAUCUAUAUCAAAUAAGUUAAAUAAUAAAUAUUAUUCUAAAAUUUCAUGUUAAAACAUAAAUUGUAUUAUUAAAAAAUUGCAAAUCAAAGUUAUAUAACUAUAAUUAUUAUAAUGCAACAACAUGAUAUAAAUAUUUUAAACUCUUAAUCGCUACUAAUGGCGUCCAUUUACAAAUGUAAUACAUGAUUCAUUUUCUUAAUAAAUAUUAAAUAUAGUACAUGAAUUCAUUGAUUAUAGUUGAAUAAUAUAAAAUGAUUAAUAAAAGAAAAUGAACAAAAAAAAAUCAAAUACAAAACAACAACAUAACUACCAAUAAAAAUAUAAAAAUCAAACCUUUUUUUUUUUUUUUAGGUGAAUCAUUCAAAGCUUAUACUUCAUCUAAAUAUUGGCAAAUUAUUUUAAAGAAGCCCGAAAAUCAUUAGAACAACCAAGCUACUUCGUAAGCGGUUUGGUUCGGUUCAAAACCAAAAUUUUGACGGAACCACGUGCAACCAAGCCAAUGGUUUCUGGAAAACGAUUUCGGUUCGAUUUUACGGUUUAGCACCUUCGUUGUUCAGCUCUAACACUAGAUGGGCAAAAAAAUGGAUUAGAUACUCUCUUUUCUUUUCUUUUUUCUUUUUUUAUUGGGUUAAGGUAACUAUAUUUUACUCUAGUGUCAAUCUAGUAAUGAUACUUCAAUUUUUUUUUACGGUUAACUAUAAUGUAAUUUAAUUUUAAAUCAGAUAACUCCGUUCAAUUUCAUCACCGAUUCAUGAAUUAGGGUGAUGGAAAUUUUUUAUCUAUGAAAUAGUGAAGCAUUUCAUUUAUUUCACUAAAAUUGUACAUAUUUCAUAUAAGUAGCUAAUAAUUAGGCUGAUUGAAACUUUUAAUCGAUUGUCGCAUUAUCAAUUUCUGUCAAGAGAAUUGGACAAAGUAUAGUUACUUGACUAAAAUCAUAUUAAAGUAUAGUUAUUCGACUAAACAAAAAUGAACUACAGUUACUUAAAUGAGGCGAUACAUAAAAGACUCGUAAUCUAAUUAACAACUUAACUUUACUUCAAUCUUGUAACGCAAGCUGCUGAACCAUGGCGAAACAACUAGGUAUUGUGUUAACAUAGCAAUAUGAGUGAUUGUGUCUUAGGGCCUGUUAGGCGUGACUUUUGCUUUUACUUUUUGUAAAAGAGCUUUUGGAGAAAAUUAUAUUUAUUUUUGUUAGAAGACUAAUUUUUUAAAAGAGUUUCUUGUUUUGAAAGUGCUUUUUGAAAAAGUCACAUUGUACCAAUUUCUUCUAAAAACUCUUUUAAUUAGAAGAAAUACUUUUAUAAAAUUAUUCAAACAAGUUCGAAAACAAUUUUUGAAUCUUAAAGACGCUUUUUUAACUUUUCCAAAAUCAUGACUAAUGAACCCUUAGUAGAAGCAAACUAUUCAUUGACAAUUUUAAGGAGGACAAAGCAAUAGUUUAUGGUUAAAGCGGCAAAUUAGGGGACAAACGUGAGAGACAAAUGUUUUGUCCAAUUGCUUAAGACAAUUAGCCAUUCUUCAUUCUCCCUGAAGUGACAACCAAAAAACCUUAAAAUUUCAUAUGCUGAAGAGAAUACAGAUUAUGAACUGCUGGCCUUGAUUCCGCAAACAAAACAUGAAAACAAAAGUGAUGAAAAAAAUUCCCUCUUUUCUUGUUGCUUUGAAGUGAUAAAAUUGAUUGUUAGAAAGAAAAUAAAAUUAGUAAUACUCUCAAAGUACUCGUGAGGAGACGUCUUAUUAUUAUUAUUAUUUUUUUUUAUGACGGGGAACCUACAGUCGCUACUCUUCGGAUGUACGCUGGGUAAACCCUCGGACUGACGCGAUAGUCUGCAAAUCACGCUAGCCAGGUAAACAGCAUUAGGCAAACCCGAUACGACAGACUCGACCAAGAAAGUGUUGGUAGAGGAAAUCGAACUCGUGAUCAAAGACUUCCGCGCUCACCCACUCCAACAACUCGGCCACCCCAUGAGGGGCGGAGACGUCUUAUUAUCACUUCUACUUUGCCUGAAUUCAAUCAUGUGGAGGUUCUUGAGUCUAUAAGUAUGAGUAAAAAUUUUAAGGUACUUCGAAUCGUCUAAAACUGAGCAUUGUUAUUACAUAAGCAACAAAAUUUGUGGCGGGUUUUUGUCAUAAAAUUUCUUGUAAAUUUUUAUAUAUUUACUUGAGCAACAAUGAAUAAAAAAAAAUGAUUUUCCAUCACAAAAAAAAAAAAAUUAAAGAAAGUCGGUCUAGAAGCUAGUGUUUUGACCUUUUAAGAUUCUGUUACUUUUAACUUAACAACAUAUCAAUUAUUUUAAAGACUCGGGGUUAAAAGUGUUCCACUCAAAUGAGUUGUGACUUGUAAGCUAUGUCCUAUAAAUAAAUAUUGAAGUAUUUUUCUAAAAACUUUAGGUAAAAAAAAUUAAAUGUAACUGUCACAAGCAAUUGGACAAGAUAAAAGUGACUCACCAACUAAAAUUGCCCACUUAUUAUUUCUUAGUAUGGAUUGAGUCAUGUCUUACUAAUUUUGCAAAUUAGCCACGAUAAAAUUAAUGAAAAGUGAUUACAAUUUGAAGCAAUGGGCAUAUAGAUUAAUUUUUUUGCCAUUAUGGAUGUGGAUAGGUGAAUAUCCCAAUGGUCCCCCUCCAACAAGCAUGGGAUAAGCACAAAAAAUAAUCCAAUAGAGUUUCAUCAUACUUUUGUGAGUAUUUUAAAUUAAAAGCUUGAAAAUUUUUCAGGUAAAAUAAAUAGUGUGGAAGCAUGUGUUUUAUUGAUAGCUUGCUUUGUAAAGUGUAAUAUAUAUAUAGAUGUCAAGUUUCGAAACAAAUCAUGUUGUGAGUCAAUCAAAGUAAAAAUCGAGCUGUGAGAAACCUAACUAUCUUGACUAUGUUUUGUGCAAGUCAGCCCACAAGAACCUUUAAAUUACUUUUCUUAACAAUAUUUUAUGUAGAAAUCAUUUUUAUAGAUAAAUUACUUAUUUGUUAAUUUCAUGAUUCAGUUAUUACAUUUGACAAGAUUUUAAUUUCAAAUUGGAGUUUCACUAAAUUAAGGUAUUAUGAAUGCUAAGAAUCUUAUCUUAAAUGUCAAGAUUAAAGUUUCAAAAUGAUAAGAUCGUCCUAUUAAAUAAUAUUUUUCUUUGUAUACCUAAGUCAUUUUCAAUCUUGGAAGGACCCCAAGGUCAAUGGAAAUGGGAAGAGAAUGGGGCUCACAUUUGCCUUAAAAGGGAUUGCCAUUGGAAUUUGAUAGAUAGUGUCUUUAUCAUGGGUGCUAUGGUGCUAGUGCUUUUAUUUAAGCCCCUACAACUUUGGUGAAAAUGAUUUCAUACCAUAAAAAUUAGAGAAAUUUGCAACAUACGACUUCUAUUUAGAAUGUAUUUACAUUUUGCAUGACACAGCUAUUAUUUAUAACUUAUAAGUAAGAAAAAUACUUUUUUAUUUAAAAAAAUUAUACAUAUACCAAUGUAAGUAGCUUAACAAAACAAAAUACCCUUAAUUAGUAAUAACAAAUCACGACUACAUUUUAUAUUAUUAAACACUUUACAUACCAUGUGUUUAACUCUUAUUAUUAUUUUUUUUUUAAAUUUAAUUACUAGAAGCUUGAGAUAGUUUAUUAAUUUUUUUUUCUUAAAAGAUGGUCUUCAUUUAUUGUAAGGUUUACAAAAUGAUUGCUCUUCAUUUUUAAAAUUACAGAGUGAAAAAAAAAACGCUGUGAAAAAGACAAAUCUUAAAAAAAAUAAUAAAUAAAAAACGUGUUGGAAAAUAUAGCAAAAACUUAAUUUGAAUUUUUUCCAACAUUAUUAAGUGGACAUAUGCAAAUUAUUAAUUUUCACCAUUAUUAUAUAAGUUUAUUCAUCGUAAUUUAUGUUUAAUGAGUAAAAAUAACAAAAAUUAGAAAAAAAAUGCUUUAAAUCGACCAAGAUUAUUCAUAACUACUUUCUUUCGCAGCACUAGGCUUUCAGCUCGGUCAACUCUCCCUUUUGUGCCACCUAGGAUAGUCUAGAAGACUUGUAGAGAGAUUAAUAUGAAACACAUGCCCAAUUAACAAAGGUAAAGUCCUCUACCAAUAAAAUAAAAAGAGGAAAGACAUCGAACAUCGAUGCAUCCCUCUAAUAGUUUAAGCCUGCAGGUUAUAGCAAAAAUGAAAAAGGUCAAGCGUAUAUAUUUGAUGAAAUGAUCAAUGCUUAGAUUUGUUACUAAGAGUCUUUGCCUUAAUCUAUUCUCUUUUGUUAGCUAGACUUUUGUUGGAAGAAUUGGCACCUUUUCUUGAUCUUCUCUUUCCUAAAGUAUGCAGUAUGUCACGGACUUGCUAAUUUCUUUCAAGAACCGUGCGGCCUUAGUGUCUUCAACUUCCGCCCCCGCGGUUAUUACACUAAGUCAGCCUCUCGAUUGGCAUUGAUGUCUUAGAAAGACACUAGGUAGAACACUUUAGGAAAGGGACAAUGAAGGAACACAAGAACUUACAAAGAAUGCUUUGUAUUGAAUAAGGAUACUCUUUACAACUUCACUCUCUUGAUGCCUUCAAAUGAAUCUUACCAAGCUAUUUAUAGUAGUAGCCUACUCAAAUGGAUGGCUAGAAUCUUUUCUAUCCAAUGGUCUAGAUUACACAUCUAGAAUUAUCUAUACAAAUAUCUACAUUAAAAUAUCUAUGGACUAGACUAGGAUGAUCUAGAAUAAUCCACCAAGUGAGGAGCUUGUAGGCUUCUAGAAUGUCCCACCAUAUUCUAGCAAUCUUCAUGCACUUGUGGGAGUCUAGAAUAUUCCGGUUAGCCUCAAGUCUUUUGUCAAUCCAAUCCACCAACGGAUUCAACCCUGGCCAACCUGUUAACAUUUCACGAUUUAUUUUCUCGUGUGUUCCCUCAUUUCUGACAGCAGGGCUUGCUAACGGGGUUAAGGGUACAGCAGGGCUCGGGGGAAGCCUGAUCGCCCUUCCUUCUCAACUUGCUCGUGUUUUCAGCUUUCAAAGAAAAUUUGCUAUUUGCUUGAGCUCCUCCACUAGAUCCAAUGGCAUCGUAUUUUUUGGAAAUGGCCCAUAUGUUUUGCUUCCUGGUAUUGAUGUGUCUAUGUCUCUUAUUUAUACACCACUUAUCAAGAAUCCAUUUGGCAUUGGAUCCGUCCCAUUUCUGAACGAGCUCUCUUCGGAAUACUUCAUUGGAUUAAAAUUGAUCAGAAUCAACGGAAAAUCAGUGCAACUAAAUAGAACUUUGCUAUCAAUUGACAGGGAAGGUAAUGGUGGAACCAAAAUCAGCACCUUUAGACCUUACACUGUAAUGCAGACUUCGAUUUACAAUGCUUUGAUUACUGCUUUCAGAAAAGAACUAGCCAAUGUCACUAGAGUGCUUCCGGUAGCACCAUUUGGGACAUGCUUCGACUCUAAGAACAUUGGUAGCACGCUCGUGGGGCCUGCUGUUCCACCCAUUGAUCUUGUCUUUAAAGGCAACAAAGUGUACUGGAGUAUUUUUGGUGCAAACUCAAUGGUGCAGGUUAAUGAAGGUGUAAUGUGUCUCGGAUUCGUGGAUGGAGGGGAGAAUCCCAUGACAUCAAUAGUCAUUGGUGGACAUCAAAUUGAGGACAAUCUUCUGCAGUUUGAUCUAGCUAGAUCUAGGCUCGGGUUUAGCUCUUCGCUCUUGUUCAGGCAAACAACCUGUGCCAACUUCAACUUUACAUCUCUCGCUUAAGGGUUCUGUUUCAUUUUUCUCAUUCAGAAUAACAUCAAACUAUAAAAUAAAUUCUUGAACUCUUUCUGAUUUUGUUCUGUUCUCAUACAACUGCACGUUUUUUUCUUCGUGUUCCUGUUUUUGCUUUUCAUAUCGCCUAAAAGUUAGCAAAGUAGUGGAUAUUAGUAACUAAAAGUAUGUUCUUGAUUUUGCUUGGAAAUGAUAUUAACAACUGCACCCCCUCCAACCUCCACCCCAUCCCAAAACAAAAACAUUGUAAGUGUUAUAUAAUUGAGAAACAGUUGGACAGUAAAGGUCAACCUAUUUUCCUUAAACAUUAAAGAAGCAUGAGUUACUUAUAAUCCCUUUGAAAGAACACAAGGAUUGCGUUGAAACAAACAGUCCCCAACUUCUGCAACGUUAUAAACUCCUCAAUCGAAAUGUGUAUUCCUAACAUAGAAAUAAAAAUGCAAAAGUGCGAAAGGAUUCAACAUUAAACUACAAUUCAUUAGGCCUGUGGAACUCAAAAUCCAAUUCCACGAGCACGAAAAAAUGCAGCAAAGUAUGAAAGCACCAUUUCGGGAACUGUCAUCGACUCCUAACAUUUUAGGUAGUACAGCCUCAAGAAGCCAGCCCAAAAAUGACCUAGAAAAUGGAGAUUCAAUGAUAAAUGAAACUCUCUUCAACUCUCUUCAUAAAAUCGACAAAAGUCUUGUGCGUAAGGUACAUGUCUACAAAAGAAUCUCCCAUAUUUGCUCGUAAAAUCCAUCUUUUCAUCGUCUAAAUCUGCAGGUAUUGGCAGAGGCAUUAGGGACAUUCGUGCUAAUGUUCUGCAUUUGCGCGAUCAUAGCAAUAAUGCAUUUAAUCGGAUUGGAAGCAGGCCUAAUGGAAUAUGCAGCCACAGCAGCACUAACAGUAACUGUUAUAGUUUUCUCCAUAGGAGCAAUUUCUGGAGCCCAUGUCAAUCCUGCUGUCACAAUUGCCUUCGCAACUGUCGGCCCAUUCCCAUGGUCCGAGGUAGUUCCAAGUCCAAAACUUGUUAAAUUUGAAGAUUCGGAUCGAGAAAUUGAAUUUCAAAUUUAUUUCCCUUUUUCUUUGAAGGUUCCACUCUAUAUAUUGGCACAAAUUGGGGGAUCUACUUUGGCAACUUAUAUUGCAAGAUUAGUAUAUGGCAUUAGAUCAGAGCUUGUGAUGACCAAACCACUCCAAGGAUGCACUGCAGCUUUCUGGGUGGAGCUUAUUGCAACUUUCAUAAUUCUUUUCCUCACUGCAUCCUUGUCAAAUGACCCUCAAUCUGUAAGAUUCUGUCAAUUCUACUCGAGUCAUUUUACGUUCGACUACACUUAUCCUGUGAUAUGUUCGGUUUAGAGUUAUAUCAGACAUGUUGCACAUAUUAGGAUAUUCGAUUUACAGUGUUCCUAGUAAUAUUUCUUCUGGUAUGAUAUAGUGCAAUUUUUGCAGAUAGGACAGGUGUCUGGCUUUGUUGUCGGGGUGGCCAUUGGACUAGGAGUGCUAAUUUCUGGGUAAAGCAUAAAUAAUUACUUAUUACAAACUAACUAGAACUCACCAGAUUCACUUAAGUCGAUUAAAUUAUCAAAUGCAGGCCUGUUUCAGGUGGGUCGAUGAAUCCAGCGAGAUCGUUAGGACCUGCACUUGUUUCAUGGAAAUUUGAUGAUCACUUAUGGAUAUAUUUAGUAGCACCAACUAUAGGAGCCAUUGCUGGUGUUUUUGUGUACCGGAUUUUACGA
rnacentral:lncRNA from 1 species